rnacentral:rRNA from 1 species
GACGAACGCUGGCGGCGUGCCUAACACAUGCAAGUCGAACGAGGUCCAUCCUUCGGGAGAAGACCUAGUGGCGAACGGGUGAGUAACACGUGAAGAACCUGCCCCGAAGACCGGGAUAACCCUCCGAAAGGAGAGCUAAUACCGGAUACCCCCACCGAACCGCAUGGUUUGGUGAGGAAAUGGAUUCCGCUUCGGGAGGGCUUCGCGGCCUAUCAGCUAGUUGGUGGGGUAACGGCCCACCAAGGCAUCGACGGGUAGCUGGUCUGAGAGGACGAUCAGCCACACUGGGACUGAGACACGGCCCAGACUCCUACGGGAGGCAGCAGUGGGGAAUCUUGCGCAAUGGGCGAAAGCCUGACGCAGCAACGCCGCGUGGGGAUGAAGGCUCUCGGGUUGUAAACCCCUUUCAGCAGGGACGAAUCAAGACGGUACCUGCAGAAGAAGCCCCGGCUAACUACGUGCCAGCAGCCGCGGUAAU